CAGAAUGGGCCCGAGCAAAGAGCAGAGGUCGUGUUGAUUUAGUGAAGCAAACCAAGACCCAGUGGAACAGCUGCCGGGAUCAGUUUCGCCGUGAACUAAAUAAAAAAAAAGGCCGUAGUGGUGAAGGCGGCUCGAAAAAAAGGCCCUAUUUAUACACUGCACAAUUGCAAUUUCUCCGACCUGUUAUGGAUUUGAGGUCUACUGUGGACAGUCUGGAUGAGCCAGAGGAUUCGGAUUUGGGAGGAAGCGACACUCCGGCAGUUUUUUUCACCAGCCACAAG